rnacentral:rRNA from 1 species
AACGAACGCUGGCGGCGUGGAUUAGGCAUGCAAGUCGAGCGAGAAAGCACCUUCGGGUGUGAGUACAGCGGCGAAAGGGUGAGUAACACAUAGGCAAUCUACCUCUCGGACCGGGAUAAUUCUUGGAAACGGGUUGUAAUACCGGAUGGUCCGCUCGGGUCUCAUGACCUGAAUGGUAAAUGGUAGCUCUGCUUCUGCCGAGAGAGGAGCCUAUGUCCUAUUAGCUUGUUGGUGAGGUAACGGCUCACCAAGGCCAUGAUGGGUAGCCGGACUGAGAGGUCGGCCGGUCACACUGGGACUGAGACACUGCCCAGACUCCUACGGGAGGCUGCAGUCGAGAAUCUUCCGCAAUGGGCGAAAGCCUGACGGGGCGACGCCGCGUGGACGAAGAAGGCCUUCGGGUUGUAAAGUCCUGUCAGUAGGGAAGAAACCUUACGGUAAAGCCGUAAGCUGACGUUACCUAUAGAGGAAGCCCUGGCUAACUCCG